UACAGAGGUCCCAAGCGUUGUUCGGAUUCACUGGGCGUAAAGGGUGCGUAGGUGGCGGGGUAAGUCGGAUGUGAAAUCUCCGAGCUCAACUCGGAAAUGGCAUUGGAAACUACCCUGCUUGAGGGUUGGAGGGGGGACUGGAAUACUUGGUGUAGCAGUGAAAUGCGUAGAUAUCAAGUGGAACACCAGUGGCGAAGGCGAGUCCCUGGACAACUCCUGACACUGAGGCACGAAAGCUAGGGGAGCAAACAGG
rnacentral:rRNA from 1 species